CUCUUACACCUGGGGUUUCUCCACUGUGCUGUAAGUGUAUAUAAGGCUGCUGUCUCCCUGGAAUAAGGUCAGUGAGAAGCACUUAGCACAAGCAGCCGUACGUCUGUGUUUUUUACCUAACUCUCCAGGAUUUCGCCUGAUAGUCAGGCUUAGUUGUCACACAGGCGCCACAAGUGGAGGAUCCACCAAGAUCCAGCAAGAAAGGGGACCCUGAGACAACGCCCUCGGAAGCCCUGCCAGCAAAAAGUGAAAAGCUGUGUGUUUCUUCCAGACUAAUGUGGUUCGAUGCAGAAAGAACCCCUGAAGCUGUGUCCCGGGUGGUCCAGCAUCUAAGACAUCAGGGACAAGGCAGCCUUGCAGACCUUUCCAGCCAGGAUUUCAUGGUCUUCAUAGGAUCCCCAUGGUAUUUCAGCACCCCCUGACAGCAGGAAGUAGUUGGAGAGAACGACGCCCACAUUCCCAAAUAUUUAUAAAAGUUUGUUUUCAUUUAAAUGGGGUUGGUUAUAAAUGGUAAAAACCAGGAAUAUUAGCCACCUAAUAAAGAGAAGUGAGUGAACCUUGAGAGUAAAAAGGCACAUAGAGAUAUGAGACAGAGAAUUACUAGACAGAUGAUUGUAUAUUUACUUGGGUAUAUUUUAAUAGCCAGGAGAACUGAAGUAAAAAGCAAGUACAGAAGAUUUUAAAGUUUAAAAGCUUUGAAAGGUUCCUUCUUUCACAGAAGCCACCAAGGCAGAUAUGUCCUAGCUGGUCUGUGGCAGAGGUAAUGAAGGGUGCGACUGUGCAUACCCACAGCACAGCAGGAAAUAUCUGCCUCUGAACUGGUUAUCAAUGUAAUAGAGACAAGAGACCUCUGUGCCUACUGAGGAUCAGCUAGAUGAAAAAUAGACAGGGCAGAGUGAUUGGGAUGAGUGUGAAAAAUUUACGAAGUAGCUUUCCCUCCCUCUGUUUUAACUGGUAACAGAGAGAGACAAAACCCCAAUUGUAAAAUUCAGGAGUAGCUAAGAGGCUUUAAAACAUUUGACUCACUCUCACAGGAGAUUAGAAAUGUGCAGGUUUCCUCAGAUCAGAGGAAAAAGCUGAAUUUGCAGAUGAGUGGGAGAUCACAGCUGAGAAGAAUAGAGCCUAAAAACUUCCUGUUUCUCAUGAGAUGCUCUCCAGGAAGGGCAAUACAAAGAUGUAGAUCAGCAGUUAGGUCAUGAGAGGGCAGCUUCGCCAAUCAGCAUUUACACUGCUAAGAAAACUUGGAACAAGUUUCCAGCCACUGGGACUUGGACCAAAGGCAUUAUAAAGAGCAGGCAAGGACCUGAGAACUAUUGUCAGAAUUUUGUCUCCUGGCUAAUGCAGGCAUCAUCCAGGAUAAUGACAGAUACAGUUGUCCAGGACCAGUUCUUUCACCUCUCGCCUCAUCCCCGCAGAGAAACGAAUGUGUUUCAAACUCAAGCCAUCUCCCAACUCCUAAAACAGACAUUUUCACCAAGCGGGAGAACUUCCUUUCUCGGAGUCCCUUCUGAAGAAGCUUUUGAAGAACUCGGGUUACUAAACUGAGGAGCCUGGAAAUAAAAUACAGAAAUUUUGCCGCAAAUUUUGUCUGUCUGCAAUCCUCAGGAGUUGAUGAACGCACUCGUAUUCUACAUCUGUAGGAACUCGCAUUGGGCUCGGCUCCUUCUCUCGCUUUCUCGAGCCUUCUUGCUAGGC
ensembl:lncRNA